rnacentral:rRNA from 1 species
UGGGGGAUAUUGCACAAUGGGCGAAAGCCUGAUGCAGCGACGCCGCGUGGGGGAUGAAGGCCUUCGGGUUGUAAACUUCUUUUGCUCUGAACAAGGCAUGCCUUUGGGGUGUGUUGAGUGUAGGGGUUGAUUAGCGCCGGCUAACUACGUGCCAGCAGCCGCGGUAAUACGUAGGGCGCGAGCGUUGUCCGGAAUUAUUGGGCGUAAAGGGCUUGUAGGUGGCUGGUUGCGUCUGUCGUGAAAGCUCAUGGCUUAACUGUGGGUUUGCGGUGGGUACGGGCUGGCUUGAGUGCAGUAGGGGAGGCUGGAAUUCCUGGUGUAGCGGUAGAAUGCGCAGAUAUCAGGAGGAAUCCCGGUGGCGAAGGCGGGUCUCUGGGCUGUUACUGACGCUGAGGAGCGAAAGCGUGGGGAGCGAACAGG